rnacentral:rRNA from 1 species
GAUGAACGCUGGCGGCGUGCCUAAUACAUGCAAGUCGAGCGAACGGACGAGAAGCUUGCUUCUCUGAUGUUAGCGGCGGACGGGUGAGUAACACGUGGAUAACCUACCUAUAAGACUGGGAUAACUUCGGGAAACCGGAGCUAAUACCGGAUAAUAUUUUGAACCACAUGGUUCAAAAGUGAAAGACGGUCUUGCUGUCACUUAUAGAUGGAUCCGCGCUGCAUUAGCUAGUUGGUAAGGUAACGGCUUACCAAGGCAACGAUGCAUAGCCGACCUGAGAGGGUGAUCGGCUACACUGGAACUGAGACACGGUCCAGACUCCUACGGGAGGCAGCAGUGGGGAAUCUUCCGCGAUGGGCGAAAGCCUGACGGAGCAACGCCGCGUGAGUGAUGAAGGUCUUCGGAUCGUAAAACUCUGUUAUUAGGGAAGAACAUAUGUGUAAGUAACUGUGCACAUCUUGACGGUACCUAAUCAGAAAGCCACGGCUAACUACGUG